rnacentral:rRNA from 1 species
GCCUACGGGGCGCAGCAGUAGGGAAUUUUCGUCAAUGGGCGCAAGCCUGAACGAGCAAUGCCGCGUGAACGAGGAAGGCCUUCGGAUCGUAAAGUUCUGUUGAAGGGGAAAAAGAGCGGAGAGAGGAAAUGGUCUCCGAUUGAUAUUACCCUUCGAGGAAGUCACGGCUAACUACGUGCCGGCAGCCGCGGUAAUACGUAGGUGGCGAGCGUUAUCCGGAAUGAUUGGGCGUAAAGGGUGCGUAGGCGGCCUGCUAAGUCUGGAGUGAAAGGUACCGGCUCAACCGGUACAGGCUCUGGAAGCUG